CCAGGAUGUUGGCUUAGAAGCAGCCAUCAUUUAAAGAAAGCGUAAUAGCUCACUGGUCGAGUCGGCCUGCGCGGAAGAUGUAACGGGGCUAAACCAUGCACCGAAGCUGCGGCAGCGACACUGUGUGUUGUUGGGUAGGGGAGCGUUCUGUAAGCCUGUGAAGGUGUGUCGUGAGGCAUGCUGGAGGUAUCAGAAGUGCGAAUGCUGACAUAAGUAACGAUAAAGCGGGUGAAAAGCCCGCUCGCCGGAAGACCAAGGGUUCCUGUCCAACGUUAAUCGGGGCAGGGUGAGUCGACCCCUAAGGCGAGGCCGAAAGGCGUAGUCGAUGGGAAACGGGUUAAUAUUCCCGUACUUGGUGUUACUGCGAAGGGGGGACGGAGAAGGCUAUGUUGGCCGGGCGACGGUUGUCCCGGUUUAAGCGUGUAGGUGUGUGUUCCAGGUAAAUCCGGUUCACUUUAACACUGAGGCGUGACGACGAGGCACUACGGUGCUGAAGCAACAAAUGCCCUGCUUCCAGGAAAAGCCUCUAAGCAUCAGGUAACAUCAAAUCGUACCCCAAACCGACACAGGUGGUCAGGUAGAGAAUACCAAGGCGCUUGAGAGAACUCGGGUGAAGGAACUAGGCAAAAUGGUGCCGUAACUUCGGGAGAAGGCACGCUGACACGUAGGUGAAGUGAUUUACUCAUGGAGCUGAAGUCAGUCGAAGAUACCAGCUGGCUGCAACUGUUUAUUAAAAACACAGCACUGUGCAAACACGAAAGUGGACGUAUACGGUGUGACGCCUGCCCGGUGCCGGAAGGUUAAUUGAUGGGGUCAGCGCAAGCGAAGCUCCUGAUCGAAGCCCCGGUAAACGGCGGCCGUAACUAUAACGGUCCUAAGGUAGCGAAAUUCCUUGUCGGGUAAGUUCCGACCUGCACGAAUGGCGUAAUGAUGGCCAGGCUGUCUCCACCCGAGACUCAGUGAAAUUGAACUCGCUGUGAAGAUGCAGUGUACCCGCGGCAAGACGGAAAGACCCCGUGAACCUUUACUAUAGCUUGACACUGAACAUUGAGCCUUGAUGUGUAGGAUAGGUGGGAGGCUUUGAAGUGUGGACGCCAGUCUGCAUGGAGCCGACCUUGAAAUACCACCCUUUAAUGUUUGAUGUUCUAACGUGGACCCGUUACCCGGGUUGCGGACAGUGUCUGGUGGGUAGUUUGACUGGGGCGGUCUCCUCCUAAAGAGUAACGGAGGAGCACGAAGGUUGGCUAAU
rnacentral:rRNA from 1 species